UCAUUUCAGAGUAUUGCAGGAAAUGUUCUGGAGAGGGACGUAUUCGUGUCAGGAAGGACAUCAAAGUAAAAAUUCCUCCGGGGGUUAGUAAAGGUAGUACUCUUCGUGUACGUGGGGAAGGCGAUGCGGGACCAAAAGGAGGGCCUCCUGGAGAUAUUUAUGUUUGCCUCGAUAUAGAGGAGCCAUCAGAUAUUAAAAGGGAUGGUAUAAACUUGUAUUCAACCGUGUCAAUAAGCUACGUUGAAGCUAUUUUGGGCACCAUUAAAAAGGUCAGAACUGUUGAUGGAACUAGUGAACUUCGAAUACCU